rnacentral:rRNA from 1 species
GUCUAUAUAGAUUCUUAAUAUAAAGUCUAACCUGCCCACUGAGUUAUUAAAGGGCUGCGGUAAUUUGACCGUGCAAAGGUAGCAUAAUCAGUAGUCUUUUAAUUGAAGGCUUGAAUGAACGGUUGGAUGAGGGAAAAACUGUCUCUCCCAUAAAUUGAAAUUUGACCUUUAAGUGAAAAGGCUUAAAUCAACUAAGGGGACGAUAAGACCCUAUAAAACUUAAUAUAAAUUAUAUUUUGUUCUUAAAUUAUAAAUAAUCAUAAUAAAAUCUAGUUUAUAUUUUGUUGGGGAGAUAUUGAUAUAAAUUGUAACUGUCUAAUCUAAAAAACAUAAUUAUUAUUAUAAUGUGAUCCUUCACUGAGGAUAAAAAGAAUAAGUUACUUUAGGGAUAACAGCGUAAUUUUUUCUGAGAGUUCUUAUCGAAGAAAGUAGUUGCGACCUCGAUGUUGAAUUAAAAUUUCAGUUAGGUGUAGCCGCUUAGCU